GCAAGUUAUUUCAUCGAAUCAUCAAAUAACCCUUUGAAGAUGGGGAAACGGAGGCAGGUGAGGACACAUAGCUAAUGGGGAACAGCUGGCAUUCACACCAAGGCAGAUGGACUUCAAUGGCCUCACAUGAUAAGAUGCUCCCCAACAUGAGCUAAAUUGCCCAGCACUUAAAUAGAUUGAAGUCAUCACUCCCAUCCUGGCAACAAGAAGAAAAGCUGAACAAAGAAAAAUCUUCAGCUCUUCUUAGAUCCUUCAGAGAACUGAAGUCUCAGGACAAUCCACUUCCCAGCAAACUAGAGACAGGCAGGCAGAUGCAGAGAAUUGUAGCAUCCCAGAGCAGAAGCCCACAGAGUUCUUGAACUGCAGUUGAGGAAUUGAAGGGGGCUUAGCGUGGACAUGCUUAAGAGUUAAAAACUCUAGGGCAGCCUCAUUGUAGGGGCCCCACACAUUCAUAAGUGUUACCUCCAGGAGCUCCACCAGGUUGUCAGAGUGAAAAUCUGAUAAGAACCCUGUCUGCGUCCAACAUGAGAGGGGAAACUGCCUUUUGAACUAUGCUAGAACAUCCUGUUCUUAACAAGAUCUGCCCAUAAGGGAAACUUCUACUGGAGCCUGACUGGCAGGGAGAUGAAAACAGCCAGCUCCAGCCCUGUCUAGCCUUCCUGUCUCACCUAAGCAGGGAAGGCAGAAAAAAGUCUGAGGAGCACUUGUGGUUUCUGAUGACUGGUUUGGUGUUUGGUAUUCUGACCCUAGGAGGGUCUCCUCUCAGUGGUCUCGCCUCUGGUUCUCUCCCGUAAACCGCUCAGUCUGGGCUCUGUCUCCCCCAAGUGUCUUUCACCACAUCCAUUAUGCGUGAGGAUGCCCUGAGAUUUAAACUUCCCCAUGGUCAGCUUCAGUCAGCUCCUUGGGGCAGAUGAGUGGGGAGAAAAGAUGAGACUUCCUAGCAAGUGUGGUGUUUCUUCUGGGGCAGCUCUGAAGGAGUCCUGAUGCGCAGUCUGUGGUUGUGGCAGCAGGCAGGGGCCACUUCUUAAUGGGGUGGUUCAUGGACCUUGCGGGCUGUUGCUCCUGCCUGCAUAGAAGCCAAUCCCAUUUAUCUGGUAUCCCAGAGAUUUGGGGAGUUCCUGGUGUCUUUUAGUCAAUCUCUUUUUGCUUAAAUUAUCUAGACUCUAUCCCAUUUUCUGUAAAUAAAACCAUGGUCUCUCUUCUCAAAAGUCCUGCUUCAUGACCUUAGGACUCAGCAGUAUAAGCAGACAUUGCAGAAAUAAAGAAAAAAGAACAGCAAAUACUUGAACACUAUAUGAACAUUUCUAAUUUCCUAUAUGGCCUAAAGGAAAGAUUGAAUUUCUUGUCAAUGAUGUUUGAGUUUCUAAAAGUUGUUUCUUCCAUAGGCCUAAUGAUAAAUUUGUGAAUUUGUAAAUUAGCAUGAAGUGAAGAAAAGUUGUCACCAUCA